CAAAUACUCUCUCCGUCCAACAAAAGAUGCUUCGAGUUUUUCAAAAUUUGGAUGUAUUUAGACAUGACUUAGUGUAUAAAUGCAUUCAAAUUUAGUUAAAGUUGAGACGUCCUUUGUUGAACGGAGGGAGUAUGUG
rfam:Brachypodium distachyon strain Bd21 chromosome 2, whole genome shotgun sequence.